UCAAGCUACAAAGAGCGCAAGGGGAAUGCCUUGGCACCAGGAGCCGACGAAGGACGCAGCAAUCUGCGAAAAGCCACGGGGAGCCGAAAGCAGGCAUCGAUCCGUGGGUAUCCGAAUGGGGAAACCCGGCUGAGUGAAGCUCAGUCAGCGUACACUGAAUCCAUAGGUGUGCGUGGGGAACCGCCUGAACUGAAACAUCUAAGUAGGGCGAGGAAAAGAAAUCAACCGAGAUUCCGCAAGUAGUGGCGAGCGAACGCGGAAGAGGCCAAACCGGCUGUAGAAAUAUGGCCGGGGUUUGGACAGCGUAAUGCAUGUUGGACCCUAGCAGAAGGGCAUGGGACGGCCCACCACAGAGAGUGAUAGUCUCGUAUGCGAAAGGGAAAAACAGCAGGCUGUAUCCAGAGUACCACUGGACACGUGAAACCCGGUGGGAAUAUGGGGGGACCACCCUCCAAGCCUAAAUACUCCCUGGUGACCGAUAGUGAAGAGUACUGUGAAGGAAAGGUGAAAAGAACCCCGGGAGGGGAGUGAAAAGAACCUGAAACCUUGUGCUUACAAGCACACAGAGCACGUCAAGGUGUGAUGUGGUACCUUUUGUAGAAUGGUCCGGCGAGUGAAUGUAACGAGCAAGGUUAAGCACUUUAGGUGUGGAGCCGAAGCGAAAGCAAGUCUGAAUAGGGCAUCAAGUUCGUUGUAUUCGACCCGAAACCGGGUGACCUAGCCAUGUCCAGGUUGAAGUGAAGGUAAAACUUCAUGGAGGACCGAACCCACUCCCGUUGAAAUGGUAGGGGAUGAGGUGUGGCUAGCGGAGAAAUUCCAAUCGAACCCGGAGAUAGCUGGUUCUCUCCGAAAUAGCUUUAGGGCUAGCCUCGACUGAACAUUACUGGAGGUAAAGCACUGAAUGGGCUAGGGGCCGAGAGGUUACUGAACCCUAUCAAACUAAGAAUGCCAGAUAAUGAUAGUCGGGAGUCAGACAGUGUGAGAUAAGUUUCAUUGUCAAAAGGGAAACAGCCCAGACCCACAGCUAAGGUCCCCAAGUAUCGUUAAGUGGAAAAGGAUGUGGAACUGCCCAGACAACCAGGAUGUUGGCUCAGAAGCAGCCAUACAUUCAAAGAGUGCGUAAUAGCUCACUGGUCGAGUGGUUCUGCGCCGAAAAUUUAACGGGGCUAAACGAUACACCGAAGCUUGGGAUGCAGAAUUAUCUGCAUGGUAGGAGAGCGUUCUGUACGGGGUGAAGUCAUAGCGGAAGCGGUGGUGGACUGUACAGAAGAGAGAAUGCCGGAAUGAGUAGCGAGAUUUAUGUGAGAAUCAUAAAGGCCGAAAGACUAAGGAUUUAGAAGGAAGGUUCGUCCGCUUCUAGUUAGCCGGGAGCUAAGGCGAGGCCGAAAGGCGUAGUCGAUGCACAUACGGUGGAGAUUCCGUAGCCGCCUCUUAAUUUAAGCAAAGGGACACUUUCAAAGUGCAUGACCCGGGCGUUGGUAGCCCCGGGCGAAAGGGACCGAAAUUAGAGUAGGGAAGCAUGCAUGGAGGAAGGCGAGAAAAGCUUUGUGGAUAGAGAGAGGCGCCCGUACCGCAAACCGACACAGGUAGUCAGGAAGAGGAUUCUAAGGCCAACGGGAGAAGGGUAGUUAAGGAACUCGGCAAAUUGACCCCGUAACUUCGGAAUAAGGGGUGCUCCUGAAAAGGAGCCGCAGUGAAUAGGCCCAGGCGACUGUUUAUCAAAAACACAGCUCUCUGCUAAAUCGAAAGAUGAAGUAUAGGGGGUGACACCUGCCCGGUGCUGGAAGGUUAAGAGGAAGGGUGCAAGCUCUGAAUUGAAGCCCCAGUAAACGGCGGCCGUAACUAUAACGGUCCUAAGGUAGCGAAAUUCCUUGUCGGGU
rnacentral:rRNA from 1 species